GGGAUGGAGCUCAGUGGUACAGCACUUGCCUAACAUGCAAGGCCCAGGGUUCAAUUCCCAGUAGCACA
rnacentral:tRNA from 1 species